AUUGAACGCUAGCGGGAUGCCUUACACAUGCAAGUCGAACGGAGUGGCGAACGGGUGAGUAAUGUAUCGGAACGUGCCCCGUAGCGGGGGAUAACUACGCGAAAGCGUAGCUAAUACCGCAUACUAUUGGAGCGGCCGAUAUCGGAUUAGCUAGUUGGUGGGGUAACGGCUCACCAAGGCGACGAUCCGUAGCUGGUUUGAGAGGACGACCAGCCAGACUGGGACUGUGACACGGACCAGAGUCCUACGGUAGGCAGCAGGGGGGAAGUUGGGAAUAUGGGGGAAACCCUGAUCCAGCCAUCCCGCGUGUGCGAUGAAGGCCUGCGGGUUGUAAAGCACUUUUGGCAUGAAAGCGGUACCUGCAGAAUAAGCACCGGCUAACUACGUGCCAGCAGCCGCGGUAAUUC
rnacentral:rRNA from 1 species